rnacentral:lncRNA from 10 species
GCUCAUCGUUUGUAUUUGACUAUCGGCACCAUUUCUCUGGCUUUGACUUCAAACUUUUGUUUUGCUCCUGAAUCAGGAUUCAGAUUCACUCAUACUGGGACAAAUCAGAGAAAGCUGAAAGAAGGACGAUAAAUAGCACCAUGGAACCCUGGACAAUUCUGCAAUUGGAGGCACCAGAUGUCUCUGAAGAUGGAAUUGUGGGGUAUAUGAUGCCUGAAGAAUUCUUGUAUGUUUCUAUUUUUUAAAAGACUAAAGCAAAAAAAAUUUUAAAGAGGAAAUAAGAGAGAAGGGAAAAUUAGGGUAGAAAAAAAUAAGAUGAAGUCAGAAGUAAUGCACAUCAUCCAGUACACAUCAUUGCUAAAGAUAGGCUGAAAAUUUGGUUCUGAGCUUUUUAGCAGCAAGCAUAAAGUGGGAAAUGUAAUUGUUUACAUGGUUUCACAAUGUCCAAGAGAUAAAAACAAACCACUUACUCAGGAGAAAUAUAGCUAUUCCUGGUACUGCGAUCUGAGAGACAGUUCUCCCAUCUGUUCUCCUAAAGAGGACACAUGUGACGUAGUGAACCACAUCCUCCUUAACUUGCCAACAGUAAAUGCAACAAUAAGUUUCAUAGAGCUGUUUCUUGUCAUGUCUCUCAACAUAGGUGAAUGGCAAAAUGCCAAUGCAGUGCUCAGUAAAAGCAACUCUAUGAAGAAAUAAAAAUCUGUUUAGAGAGGCAAUAAAGCAUAGUAGUAAGAGUGUUGGCCUGGGUUCCAAAUCUAUCUGUCAAACAAGUUACUUAACUACUUUGUACUCAGUCUUCUCAUCGAUAAAACUGGUCUAAUAAUACCAUCUCAUAGAAUUUUGUGAGUUAUGCAUGUGAAGUACUUAGAACAAUGCCUGGCAUAUAUAAGCACUAAAAAAAUCCGUUUAAAAAAUCCACUUUUAAAAAAAGUGAAUCUUACAUGUUAAGGCUACUGUAAAGAAAACAGUGUGAUAUUGAUGGAGAGAUAGACACAUAGAUCAGUGAAAUAUAAUAGAGAAAUAUAUCACACAAGUAUAGCCAACCGAUUUUCAACAAUGUUGCAAAAAAAAAUUCAAUGGAGAAAAGAUAGUCUUCCAAUAAAUAGUGCUAGAGCAACUGGAUGUCAAUAGGCAAAAUAAUGAACUUCAACCUAAACUUCACACCCUAUAGAAAAACUAACUCAAAAUGGAUAACAGAUUUAAAAGUAAAAUGUCACACUAUAAAAUGUUUUCACAAAAACAAAGGAGAAAACCUUCAGGACUUAGGGCAAUGUGAAGAGUUCCUCAACAUGAUACCCAGAAAUGAUCCUUAAGAGAAAAAUUGAUAAAUUAGACUUCAUCAAACUUAAAACUUUUGCUCUGUAAAAUAUCACAUUAAGAGAAUGAAGACAGACACAGGCUGAAAGAAGGUGUCUGCAAACCAAAAACCACUGCAGAAAAUAUAGUAAACCAAACAUCUGACAAAGGACCAUAAAGAACACUCAAAAAUCAACAUCAAGGAAACAAUCUAAUUAGAAAAUAGGUAAAAGACAUGAAAAUAUAUUUCUGCAAAGAGGAUAUACAAAUGGCAAAUAAGCAAAUAAAAUAUGUUCAAUGUCAUUAGCCAUUAGGAAGAUGCAAAUUAAAACCAUGAUGAGAUAUCAUUAUAUACCUAUUAGGAUGGCUAAAAUAAUGACAAUACUAAAUGCCUGUGGAGAAAACUGACUCUCUCAUAUAUCGCUGGUGGUAGUGUAAAAUGGUAUAGCCACUCUGCAAAAUAGUUUGGCAAUUUCUUAAAAAUCUAAACUUAUACUUACCACAUGAUCUAGCAAUCACAUUCCUAGGCAUUUACCCAGAGUAAUGAAAAUUUAUGUUCACACAAAAACCUAUACAAGAAUACCCAUUGUAAGUUUAUUUGUAGUAGCCUAAAUUGGAAACAACCCAAAUGUCCUUCAAUGGGUGAAUGGCUAAACAAACUGUGGUGCAUCUAUAUCAUGGAAUACUACUCAGUAAUAAAAAGAAACAAUCUAUUAGUACAUGCAACAAUUUGUAUGAGUCUCAAGAAAAUUAUGCUGAGUGAAAAAAAAAAGCCAAUCUCAAAGGUUGGAUAUUGUAUGAUUUCAUUUAUCUAACAUUCCUAAAAUGAUAAAAUUACAGAGAUGAAGAACAGAUUAGUGGCACUAGGGAUGGGUUGGGGGCAGUACAGGUGUGACCAUAGAGAGGUAGCAUUUGGGAUAUUUGUAGUAAUAAAACAGUUCUGUAUCUUGACUUUUACUGUUGUUACAUCAAUUUACUACAUGUGAUGAAAUUGCAUAGAACUACACACACACACGAGUAUAGGUAAAAACUGGUGAAAUUUGAAUAAAUUCAAUGGAUUGUACCAAUAUAAAUUUCCUGAAUUUAAUAUUGUACUAUAGUUAUGUAAGAUGUUACCAUUGGGGGAAACAGGAUAAAGGGUACACAGAACGUCCCUGUACUAUGAAUUUCCUAUGAAUCUAUAAUAAUUUUAAAAUAAAAAGUUUCCAAAAAAAUGUAUCUUAUAAAAAAUGUUAUAGGCUGGGUGUAAUGGCUCACACCUGUAAUCCCAGCACUUUGGGAAGCCAAGGCAGGAAGAUCGCUUGAGCCCAGGAAUUCGAGAUCAGCCUGGGCAACAUUGGAAGAACUCAUCUCUACAAAAAGUAAAAAGUUAGCUGGGUGUCGUGAUGCAUGCCUUAGUCCCAGCUAAUAGGGAGGCUGAGGUGUAGGGAUUGCUCGAGCCCAGGAAAUUGUGGCUGCAGUGAGCUAUGAUAAUAGCACUACUACACUCCAGCCUGGGUGAUAAAGCC